UCGGUAGCGUCAUGCCGAAUAGACGAUAGGAAGUAUGGUGUAUGGCCACCAUUACGGUGCAGUAUGGUGUUCGUUUGAUCUUGGUUUGAUCCAUGCACUGUAAACGUGCUCACGAAGAUGGGGCCAAAUGACCCGAUUUCAGUCAGUCGCUCCGGAAGCGUCUUUGUACCCGGUCGCGUCGUGUCAACUCUCGUUUCGUGUGCACAAGUAAAAACAAUCAAAAAUGCCUUCUUGUGUGAUGAGAUUCUGUACAAACUAUUCGUCAAAGAUGUCUAAAAGUCAAGGGAUCACUUAUCACCUGUUUCCAUUAAACGAUUUGAAACGAGAUAAAUGGGUGAAAAUUGUCCGUCAACAAAGAAGAGAAGAUGAUUGGAUGCCCACUAAAUAUAGCAAAAUAUGCUCUAACCAUUUUAAAAAUAAAGAUAAAGAUACAUAUAUCACAGAAGGGCUACACAGUUUUAAAGAAAGGAGCAGUGCCGAUACUUAAGGAGGAAAGCCGCCUUUCACCUCUAAAUACGUCGCCAUCACGGGGAAGUCCGAACAGCCUCCAAGAAGAACAUCAUGAGGACCCACGAAAAUCAGCACCUAAAUUGCGUGUACGAAAAUUAAUUAUUGAUAAACAAAAUCUUAUCAAUAAAAAUAACAUUUUAAUUAAAAAAAACAAUAGGCUAUUAAAGAAAGUAGAAAAUAUGGGUAACAUUUUAAACAUUUUAAAGAAAAAUAAAUUAAUUUCUGAUCAACAAUUAGCUGAAUUGAAUUUGAAGCCAGAGGCCAUAAGUUUGUUUAGUAGACUAACCUAAUCUUUCGUAUGGAAGUAACUUUUCUUAGCUUUUUUUUGGCUAUGUUUACUGGGGAUAUAUUUUUUCAGUUUCAUUGAAAAAAAACACACUCUUGAAGAUGGUUAUACUGCUGGAAUCGCUGGAUCUCAUAUAACUGUUUAGUUUUAAGUGUAUUUAUUAUAUUAUGUAUACGUUUAUCCACGUCUCUCUCAGAAACUUCAUGUUGACGUAAAAGUAAGCCAAUAAAAAAGAACCUCUCUAUAUAUGUUUUGUGGAAUUAUCACAAUCUGCCCACGUCCCCCUUCCCCCUCAAGUCCCGGGCCCUAAUUCCCAAUCUGGUCUCUAAAAUAGAGUUUAUU